rnacentral:rRNA from 1 species
CCGUUCCUACGGGGCGCAGCAGUGGGAAUAUUGGGCAAUGGGCGCAAGCCUGACCCAGCGACGCCGCGUGAGGGAAGACGGUCUUCGGAUUGUAAACCUCUUUCAGCAGGGAAGACAAAAGGACGGUACCUGCAGAAGAAGCCACGGCUAACUACGUGCUAGCAGCCGCGGUAAUACGUAGGUGGCACGCGUUAUCCGGAAUUACUGGGUGUAAAGGGUGCGUAGGCGGCUUGGCAAGUCAGUAGUGCAAUCCAUGGGCUUAACCCAUGAACUGCUAUUGAACCUGUCGAGCU